UUUUGGCAUACAGCUAUCUGUAUCGUACACAGGCUCACCUACGUGCAGACCGUUUGAAAGUUUCGGCAAGCGGCGCACGGCUGCGUGACCGCGCAUGCGGGCUAACUUUCCCACGGCGGUGAUAAUGCAUAAGCAAAUUGGGUUUAAUACCCGCAUACGUACAUAGCUGUGGCCUUUGCGUGUCUAGUAUAAACAUUAUUGGGUAAGAGAUGGGCAUGCCGUUCUAUUAGUUAGUUGGAGUGGUAACGGCACCCCAAGACAGCGAUAGAUAGGGGCCCUGAGAGGGGGAUCCCCCACACUGGUACUGAGACACGGACCAGACUCCUACGGGAGGCAGCAGUGAGGAAUAUUGGACAAUGGGCGAGAGCCUGAUCCAGCCAUACCGCGUGCAGGAAGACGGCCCUAUGGGUUGUAAACUGCUUUUACACAGGAAGAAACACCCCCUCGUGAGGGGGCUUGACGGUCUGUGAGAAUAAGGACCGGCUACUCCGUGCCACAGCCGCGGUAAUACGGAGGGUCAAGCGUUUCCGGAAUAUUGGGUUUAAGGGUCCGUAGGUGGACCGUUAAGUCAAAGGUGAAAUCUCACUCACUGUAGAAUUGCUUUAUCUGCGGCUUGAAUAUUG
rnacentral:rRNA from 1 species